AACGCACAUUGCGCCCUUUGGUAUUCCUUAGGGCAUGCCUGUUCGAGCGUCAUUUCAAAAUUCAAGCUCAGCUUGGUGAUGGGCGUCUGUCCCGCCUCCGUGCGCGGACUCGCCUCAAAAGCAGUUGGCAGCUCCCUUUUCGGCUCUAAACGCAGCAGAUUUGCGUGAUGCGGCGAGAGGAAGGGCUUACCAGUAAGCAGAACCACCCCAGAUUGACCUCGGAUCAGGUAGGGAUACCCGCUGAACUUAA
rnacentral:misc_RNA from 1 species